AACUGCCGAAUUGCCUCCACCUUACUGGGAAGAGGCGUGGCUCCCUGUGAGGUAACAUGGUGUCCCAGGAAUGAAAUAGUGCUGAAACCAAACUGGCACUUGGCGGCAUUGAUAACCAGCCCGUGGUUCCGGAGCCGCUGUAACAGCACCUGGAGGUGCGCAGUGUUCCUGGUGGGAGCGGCUGGCAACCAGAAUAUCAUUGAGGUACACAAAAACAAAGUCCAACCCUCGACCAACCAUGUCCAUCAGCCGCUGAAAAGCCUGCGCAGCGUUCUUAAGCCCGAACGGCAUCUGCAGCCACUCCAACAGGCCGAACGGGGUGAUGUUAGCUGCCUUUGACACAUCAUCGGGGUGCACGGGAAUCUGGUGGCAGCUGCGCAUCAGAUCUACCUUGGAAAAUAUGGUAGCACCAUCCAAGUGGGGCGUGAAGUCCUGGAUGUGUGGGACUGGGUCGCGAUCAGCAGUCGUGACGGUGUGAAAGCGGCGGUAGUCCCCACACGGUCUCCACUCACCGGACGACUUGGGAACUAUAUGUAAUGGGGAAGUCAACGGGCUGUCGAGCGUUGCACAAUUCCCAUGUCUUCUGGAACUCCUCCUUAGCUAAACGCAACUUGUCGGGCGGGAGCCUGCACACCCGUGCAUGCAACGGAGGACCGGCAGUGAGGAUAUGAUGCACCACCCCAUGCUUGGGAGUGGCUAAGUAAAAAUCAGGGGUUAUGAGCUCCGGGAAAUCGGCCAGAAUCAGAGCAUAUGCCCCACCCACAUCUGUCACAGAUCCAAGAUGUGGGCUGGAGGAAACCGCAGACCGCGAGGAAAUGGGCUGGGGAGACGCCGGAGGAAUAAGGCGCCGGCACCUCUACUGGUGAUUGGCUGAGGCAUUUCCCAGAAACGAGCAGAGGGCGCGGCAUCGGUGGGCCACCGCACCCCAGCGUUGGUGGUAAUAAUACCACUGGCGCUUACGCGGUCGACUGCGGCACAGUGAUGGCAGCUGAGGGUGAAACGUCCCAGCGUGGCAGCUUCUGCGAUGGCGCGGACACCCGGCUGAUGGAACCACCAUCCUGCUGCUUGGUGAGUCACAGCUCGUCUGCCCAUUCAGCGAUCUGCAGGGGAUUGGCGAAAUCGGACCCGGCUAGGAGCAGGCGGGUGUCGUCGGGCAUCUGCUCCAGGAAAGUCUGCUAAAAUAAUAGGUAAGGCUGGUGGCCAUCCAUGAGAGCGAGCAUCUCGCUCAUCAACACAGAUGGCUUACGAUCGCCGAGUCCGUCCGUAUGCAACAGGCGAGCUGCGCAAUCGCGGCGACUGAGCCCGAAGGUGUGGAGCAACAGCGCCUUGAGACCUUCAUACAGUACUUGCCAAAAGCGGGUGGAUUCUGAAGGCAAACAAGUUUUGGAAUCGGCGAUUUCCAUUUCCUGAAAGCAGUCAAUGAUUACAAGGUUGACCCAGAUAUGGACAAUCCUCUGAAUGAAAAAGUUGCUGCUGCGGUCCCUCCUAAAGCUCUCCCCUCACAACUCACAUCUAUGCCUUCUAGGUUAAGAAUCCUCUACUCUGAGAAUAAAUAGACUAAUCUGACACCUGGACUUGCAACAGACCACCAGCUUCUGAGUGGAGUGUGACCGGAGCCCCUGACCUUUGAUAUCACAGUCAGUGUUCUGCUGAACCCUGACCUCUCUGCACACCUUUUCUUCCUGACAAAAACCUAUGUGGCAUUUGGAUGGAAUGGAAUGAGCACAAUGUGUUGUGAAAUUACUUAUUUCCUGGAGACGCAAGAGACCUUAGGAUCUGGAAUCUGGAGCUUAACAUGAAUUGCUGGAGGAACUCAACAAGUCGAGUGGGUGAAAGGAAACAUCAACAUUUCAUGUCCUACAUUGAUCUGCCUGCUUAGAUGUAACAAGGCUCCCCAAGGGGAAAAGCCAAAGAUAAAUGAUUACCAAUGCAAUGGUGUAACAUGUGUGGCAGCACCCUCUCCAUUGGAUGCCCUUUAACCAGCUGACAGGCCAGGAUAGGCCAAUUCCCAGCAUUAUUGGUAACAGCUGGGUCCAAUUAGCUGAUAUUGAUUGGCCAUUUGAACCUUGUCAGCCUACUGCUGAUAAAAGUCCUGUUGCAGGCUUGAGCAAGCCUGAGCCACUGGGACAAACAGGAGACCAUCAAUAGUGCUUUGUGUUCAAGACAGGGUUGCUGGGAAGAAACCCUAGAUGGAUAGUGCCUCUCCUGAGGGUAAGACUGAGUAGUUGGGGCCAGCCUGUGAUGGCAGAACCUCAUCCUUCACACAGACAAUGAGGGACUUUGCCCACACACAGAGGCAAAGACUGGUUGCCAGGAUAAUUCAGAGGCUGCCAGUGCUGCCUCUUCAAGCCUAAAGCUGAGCUGCCAGGAAGAGACCUGUACUGUCAGUGUCUACUCUUGAGACAAGGGUGAACUGUGGGAAGAAGGUUGAAAUUGCCACUAUUAGUUCUUUGAAGACCAGAUCUGAGCUGCUGAAACAGCCCUGAGAUUGCCAGCAUCAUUGCACAUGUACCCUGAUGAUCCUGGACUUUCUUACCACUGUAAAUAAAAUAUAUCAUUUGAGCUCUCCCUACUGCAAUUGCCAGUAUGUUCAAUGCAGAAACCCAAUGUCAAUCCCUGAUGCCCUGCAUGAUGUGGGAAUGGGGCACAACAGGAAGAGCAGGAUAUCCAGGUUGGGAUUUGUUCUAUUGAUUGGAUUAUGCUGAUGUGGAAGUAUAUAAUUCAAUUUUAGCAAGAGUUACUGACAUUUAAUUAACCUACAUUUCAUUACCUACUGGACCCAUAAGAGUGCAUAACAUCUGACCAUUAAAAGAAAAAAUUGGAGCAGACUGUCAGACACUUUUUCUCAUGAAAUUGAGGUUUAUGAUAUCAAUUAAGUCCCUAAAACAAGUCAUUAAAAUGUUGCCAUAUGGCAACCUGCUGAGAGGGUGAAUCCUUCACUGAUUCUCAAUUCUCUGUCACCACUCUGAUGGCCUAAGUGGGUGUGAGCUCCAGAUAUGACCAUUAUAUGCCACUUUCGUUUGUAACAGCAUGUUUGCCUCAAAUCUCCUUCUUCAAUGUUUCCCUUAGCUCUGAGAUGAUUCACUUUUAAUUCACUGUUCCCAGUCCACUUUUGCUAAAUUGCUCCUCAACUAGCAUAGGCGGCCUUAUCCCAAUUCACUUCAAUCCCACAUGUAUUUCCACAACAACACAAAAGGAAGAUCAUUCAGUCCAUCAAGCCUAUGCCGACACUCGAAACAUUCCCAUUUCAUCCCAUUAUUUCCUUGUGACUUUACACAUGUCUGUCAACUCCCUCAUAAUUGCCACCCACUUACCCUGGAGGCAAUUACAGCAACCAGUUUAUCUUUGGGAUGCAGGAAUAAAACCAAAGCACCCAGUGGAAACCUACACAGUCACAGGGAGAACAUAUAAAUGUCAUACUGACAACACCAAAGGUCAGCGUGAAGCCUGAGUCACAACAUCUGUAAAUCAGCAGCAUUAACUGUACUGCCACUGUGUUGAAUCUAAUUACAUUUUAAUCACUACAACUUCCAGUCACCUGUCACUUUGCAGAUUACAUGACUGCUGUGCAGACUUCUUUGUUGAAUCUGCAAGAGUGGCUCAAAACUUCCAGUCAACUUACAGUUUAUUUUUGCAUCCCUCACCCACUCUGAUAUCUCUAUCAUUACCCUCCUACAUUCUUUCUGACAAAGCCCAGUAUAAACUAAUCUUCUGCUUACAAUCUUCUUGACUCAAUUUCAAAUUCCAAAAUGUUGCGUAGAUAACUUUCUCUGUCUGUAUCCAUCUGCAAUAAUGGGCCUAUUUUUCUCUCUCAAUCAGCACAACCUGAUUAAUUUACCGAAUAGGAUUUAGGAAUUAUGUACCCUCUAUAGCAAGGUAAUUGACAUUGCCCACCAGUUUUGCACGUCAGAAAUAUGCCUACAAAUUUACCAUAGGAACCUCUUGUGACCAUCAAAGUAUAUUUGAUAAAAUGACAAAUGUCACACAUGGCUGAAAUCCAUGAGCCAGGCAGCGAGACCAACAAGGAUACAAAAUGGGCCCGGGGACAGAAAGUAGAGCAAAGCUAAUUUUCAGAUUGGCAGGAGAGAUGCAUAUUGUGAUGCUCACACGGUGCCAUGUCAGGGUCAGUGGUACUUUUGAUGUCCAUGAUGGGUUUGAAUUUAGAGAUGCAGGGAACAUUUCCACCAUAAAUACUGAACACAAUACUUGCAAGUAUAAUGAACGGUGAGCAAGACACCAACAGAUUUCAAAAGGACAUGGAUGGGUUGGUGGUAUUUUCAUUACUGAUGAAACUCAAAGCAGAAAGGUGAGGCAGUUCAUUACAGUAGCAGGAAUGAGGAGAAAUAAAUGGACUUUUAUGAUUCAAUUUCAUAGCGUCAUAACACGUGGAAACAGGCCCUUUGGCCCAAUUUGCCCACGCCAACCAAGAUGCCACAUUUACACAUCCCACCUGCCUGCAUUUGGCCUAUAUAUUUCUAAACCUUUCCUAUCUAGACAUCUGACCAAAUGUCUUUGAAAUUGUGUGAUAGUAAUGUUAUGAAUCCAUGGGAUUGAAAAAAUAAAGUUUUGUUGGAACUUUCACGUUCAAUUUUGCAGGUUAAAAAAACAGUUAAUGAAGCAAUUAAGAUCCAGGGCUUUGUAGGUGUCAACAAAAUGCUGUUCCUCUAGUUUCCAUGUACCAAAGUCAGGGGGUACUAAUAGUAACAACAUACUCCAUGAGUGGUCUCUACGGUGUGAAGUGUGGAGAAAUGUUCUUCUCGUAAAGAGUCAUGACUCUCUAGAAUUUUAUUUCUUGACAGGUGAUGUAAGCUUAAUAAUUAGAAGCAUUUUAUGUGGAAAUGGAUAAAUAUUUGCUAAAUUUAGGACUAGAGGAGUAUGGAGUGAUGGCACAUCAGAGGAGUUGAGGAAUGCAUGGAUCAGCCAUUAUGAUAUUUAAUGGUGGGACAGGCUUGACGGUCUACUCCUCCUAGUUUCUUCUGUUCUUCGGUUCUUGUGAAUUAGCAAUUGCCAAUCGAAGGUUGAAUUGCUGUUUAAAAUCAGGAAGGGUCCAAAUGCACAUUGAAAUAUGAACAUUUCUCAGCCUCCCUAUCAAAUUCUCUUUACUGUAUUAUAUUCUAAACCAACACAUAAUCUUUGCAACUACAUUUUAGACUUAACAUUUGUCAUAAGUAGAUCAUAAAAGCAUAACUCACAAUGGGAAUAAUUCUCAUGGGAAACCAGUUACUAAAUUAUUCAUUUGGGGUCCUACUUUUAUGGGCUUCUUCCAUGAAGUUAACAAUAACGCAUGAUUGGCACUUCAUGUCCUUCGAAUGAAAGGUUUAGUUUGCUACAGUUAAUGAAAAAUUUAACAAUACUUUCCAGCUGGUUGGUAGCCAUGCCAUUGCUACUUGCAAGGCCUUUUCUAGUCCUGGUUAUUAAGAUGUUCCACCAUCAAGCCUAGGGAGAAUCUUCAAAUGAUCUUGAAUCACCCUCAUUGAAAAACUUUUAUUAUUUUGACAAGUCAUCUCACAAGAUAACAUAUCUUGAGCAUACAUGCAGAUACAGUAAGGAAUUAGUGAGUUGAAUAAUGUGUUAGCAAUAGGAUUGGAGUUUGAUUGCAAUUACAUUGGGCUCUGGAAAGAUCAUAGUACAGCACAGGUCACGAACAUGCCCUUCAGUCUACAAUAUCUGUGCUGACCAUGAUGCCAAAUUAAAAUAAUCUUGUCUGCUAGCACUUGAUACAUAUCACCCCAUUCUCUGCAUAUGCUAUCU